UACGGAGGGUGCAAGCGUUAAUCGGAAUUACUGGGCGUAAAGCGCACGCAGGCGGCUUUUUAAGUCGGAUGUGAAAGCCCCGGGCUCAACCUGGGAAUUGCAUCUGAUACUGGGAAGCUAGAGUAUGUGAGAGGGGGGUAGAAUUCCAAGUAUAGCGGUGAAAUGCGUAGAGAUUUGGAGGAAUACCAGUGGCGAAGGCGGCCCCCUGGCACAAUACUGACGCUCAGGUGCGAAAGCGUGGGGAGCAAACAGG
rnacentral:rRNA from 1 species